GUCUACUCAGAGUGCUCGGGUGGAGGUCUGUGUUCGGGGCCGUGGGCGCGCGUCUCGUGCGUGCGUUCUCGCGCUUCGGCGCUUCCUCUUUUGCUCACCUCUGUGCUCUUACUUGGAGGGGGUGACUUCUGUGUCACCUUGAGUAAAUCAUGGUGCUCACAGCAGUCGUGCGGGCCCUGUGCCCUGUGAACAGUCUAUGCGGACUGAAUUGGUUUUGCAAGGCAUGACGAAACAUGACGUCGCUGCUGGUCGCGAGUGUGAGGGUGCAGUCCUCGUGGCUGUGUCGAGCGGUUUGCCAGUAGUGACGUAAUGAUCAAUGGAGACGGUAGCUGGCAUUGGUAUUGCGCGGCGAGAGGUGAAAUUCUGCGACCCCCGCAAGACCUCCUAAAGCGAAGGCGUCUGCCAAGGACGUGUUCACCAAUCAUGAACGAAAGUCAGAGGAUCGAAGGCGAUCAGAUACCGCCCUAGUUCUGACCCUAAACGAUGCCAACCAUCAAUCCGCGUGAGCACCCUAUCUAACGGGCUCGGCGGGCAGCUCCCUUCUUCCGGGAAACCAGAGUUUUUGGGUUCCGGGGGGAGUCUGGUUGCAAAGCU
rnacentral:rRNA from 1 species